rnacentral:rRNA from 1 species
UACGGAGGGUGCAAGCGUUAUCCGGAUUCACUGGGUUUAAAGGGUGCGUAGGUGGGUCUGUAAGUCCGUGGUGAAAUCUCCAAGCUUAACUUGGAAACUGCCAUGGAUACUAUAGGUCUUGAAUUUUCUGGAGGUAAGCGGAAUAUGUCAUGUAGCGGUGAAAUGCUUAGAUAUGACAUAGAACACCAAUUGCGAAGGCAGCUUACUACAGGAACAUUGACACUGAGGCACGAAAGCGUGGGGAUCAAACAGG